AUUGAACGCUGGCGGCAGGCCUAACACAUGCAAGUCGAACGGUAACAGGAAACAGCUUGCUGUUUCGCUGACGAGUGGCGGACGGGUGAGUAAUGUCUGGGAAACUGCCUGAUGGAGGGGGAUAACUACUGGAAACGGUAGCUAAUACCGCAUAACGUCGCAAGGCCAAAGAGGGGGACCUUCGGGCCUCUUGCCAUCGGAUGUGCCCAGAUGGGAUUAGCUAGUAGGUGGGGUAACGGCUCACCUAGGCGACGAUCCCUAGCUGGUCUGAGAGGAUGACCAGCCACACUGGAACUGAGACACGGUCCAGACUCCUACGGGAGGCAGCAGUGGGGAAUAUUGCACAAUGGGCGCAAGCCUGAUGCAGCCAUGCCGCGUGUAUGAAGAAGGCCUUCGGGUUGUAAAGUACUUUCAGCGGGGAGGAAGGGAGUAAAGUUAAUACCUUUGCUCAUUGACGUUACCCGCAGAAGAAGCACCGGCUAACUCCGUG
rnacentral:rRNA from 1 species